UUAAACAAAUGUUUACAGCGUUUUAUCCCAGAUUCUGAAAAAAUUGUUCCAUUCACUCAUCAGUGUCUAGAAUUACAUAAGUACGUGGUAAUAGUUCUCGUUAUGUGGAAAAUCUUACCCGAAUGCCUUUAAUCUUUGAGUCAGAGCCGCAGAUGUUUGUGCUCUGGAGUCAACGGCAACACCAAGUGUGGAUGGCAACUCCGUAAUCCAAUAACUUGGAUACGACGAUAGACAGAUCUCAUUCCAAUCUUCCUCCCAUCCUCAGCAAAUCAGUUACCUGCAACCUGCCUGAUAGUGGAAAAAUGGUUCCGAAGAGCUAAUUGUCUUAAGUGGAGUUUUUGGCCUUUUGCCACGCCAAAAACCUUAUGGACUACAGCGCGGCUCUAUCCAAAACUUGUGAAAAACCCAAAAAUUGCCCUACUUAUGGACUUUUUUGCGACAGUUGCAGUAGUUUAGCGGCAUGUAUCCAAGAUGACGACACUUACACAAAACAGAACACGAAAACUUGUGAACUACGGAGAAAAAUGUAUCAAGAAUAAGUGCACUACUGCACAGGAUCCCUUUUGCGAUGGUAUCGCAGAUUUGCCUUUUCCAUGUCUGUUUGACAUUGUGGGUAUUUUUCCGGAUCCUCUUUACUGCAACAAGUUUGUUCUCUAUGCGUCCAAACCAAAGACACGCUGAAAGCUUACCCGAGUCAGUGCGAACAAGGACUUGGCUACAACAUUGGUAUUGGACUUUGCGACAUUGUUCUGCAAAAUGGUGUAUGCCCGCAGGACGAAUAUCCUAUUCCAUCGUGCACAGAACUUGGUGAGAGUGAACCUUUGGAGGAUAAGCCGCAGGAGUAUUUCAUAUGCAAAGAGUAUGGUCGUUCAAAAGAUGUUAUGUAUCUAUUUAUUGAUGUUUGUUCUAAAGCUAAAACUUAUGACAGCUACAUAUGCUCUUAAGCUUAGAAAACAUGUUGUUUGAUGAUUAAUCUGAGAGACAUAUUUGCUUUAUUGUGACAUUUAUUGCAAUAAAACUUAUGUGAAUUUGAACAA